ACUCCGGGGCGAAUCCGCCUUCAAGUCGCCUGCUCCGCUGUACGCUCGGAUUCAAUUCGACAACGCGCACAGAAUAUGCCCCGCCUCCGCACAGCGCACUGUCAGUUUGCGGGCUCGUCACAGACGCUGGGCGGAUUAACUGACCGGACGCGCCUUUUUCAAUUAUCAUCGUCACUGAAUCCUUCUCCUCACUGUGGAAAAGCUGGAGCCGACAGGUCGGUGAAGACUGAACACGCUUACAACUCAUUCAAGUGCCACCAGUGUGUUUUUGGAGUAUUUCUUCUUUCUAUUUCAUCUUUCGUUUGAGGAAACUUACAGCUCAUUCAAGUGCCACCAGUGUGUUUUUGGAGUAUUGCAUCUUUCGAUUUCAUCUUAAACGAACAUCUGAGUAAAGUAAGAUUAAAAACUGUUUUAAACUGGAUUUAGCCAGCUAUUUUGUCAAAUACUGAUAAUUAGGGCUGGACGAUUA